GCAAGAUCACCAGCAAUAAGCAUCCGACCAGGACUCAGACCCAUGUAGCCAGACUCCAGAGUCCUGUACUACUGUACUGUGCAGCCUGGCUUACAGGAUCUUAGUUCCCCGACUGGGGAUCGAACCCAGGCUCCCAGCAUUGGAAGCAAGAUUCCCAACCACUGGACCACCAGGGAAUCCUCUGUUGAUCUUAAAAAGUAUGGAGAAAUUCUGAGAAACAGAAUUGAUGAAACAAAAGGUUCCCAGUCAGGCAGCAUAUGUACAAGCAGAAUGGAAGGCCAUGCUCUAAGUAUUUGAUCAAUGAUCUGCUGUCUCUGAAGGACUCUCUGGUAAAAACUCCAAUGGAGGGCAUCACUUAUGCUUGGAGGGGCUCAGCCAUGCUAGGGUCUGCUGCCUGCAGGAAGCACGGGAAUGAGGAAUUGACUGAGCACGGCUAACCUGGUGGCAUAUCAUGUGGUGACUCUGACUACUAGUAAAAUGUGGUCCCUGAACAUCUGGG